rnacentral:rRNA from 1 species
GACGAACCGAGCGAACGUUAUUCGGAAUCACUGGGCUUAAAGGGCGCGUAGGCGGGCCGUCAAGUCGAGGGUGAAAUCCCCCAGCUCAACUGGGGAAGUGCCUCCGAUACUGGCGGCCUCGAGGGGGAUAGGGGCAUGCGGAACUUCCGGUGGAGCGGUGAAAUGCGUAGAUAUCGGAAGGAACACCGGUGGCGAAAGCGGCGUGCUGGAUCCCUUCUGACGCUGAGGCGCGAAGGCCAGGGGAGCAAACGGG